GACGAACGCUGGCGGCGUGCCUAAUACAUGCAAGUCGAACGCACGAAGUUGAAGAGCUUGCUCUUUAACCAAUUGAGUGGCGGACGGGUGAGUAACACGUGGGUAACCUGCCCAUUAGAGGGGGAUAACAUUCGGAAACGGAUGCUAAUACCGCAUAGUUUCAGGGAUCGCAUGAUUCUUGAAGGAAAGGUGGCUUCGGCUACCACUAAUGGAUGGACCCGCGGCGUAUUAGCUAGUUGGUGAGGUAAUGGCUCACCAAGGCAAUGAUACGUAGCCGACCUGAGAGGGUGAUCGGCCACACUGGGACUGAGACACGGCCCAGACUCCCACGGGAGGCAGCAGUAGGGAAUCUUCCGCAAUGGACGAAAGUCUGACGGAGCAACGCCGCGUGAGUGAAGAAGGUUUUCGGAUCGUAAAACUCUGUUGUUAAAGAAGAACAAGGAUGAGAGUAACUGCUCAUCCCCUGACGGUAUUUAACCAGAAAGCCACGGCUAACUACGUGCCAGCAGCCGCGGUAAUACGUAGGUGGCAAGCGUUGUCCGGAUUUAUUGGGCGUAAAGCGAGCGCAGGCGGUUCUUUAAGUCUGAUGUGAAAGCCCCCGGCUCAACCGGGGAGGGUCAUUGGAAACUGGAGAACUUGAGUGCAGAAGAGGAGAGUGGGAUUCCACGUGUAGCGGUGAAAUGCGUAGAUAUGUGGAGGAACACCAGUGGCGAAGGCGACUCUCUGGUCUGUAACUGACGCUGAGGCUCGAAAGCGUGGGGAGCAAACAGG
rnacentral:rRNA from 1 species